rnacentral:misc_RNA from 1 species
GAUGAAGAACGCAGCGAAAUGCGAUACUUGGUGUGAAUUGCAGAAUCCCGUGAACCAUCGAGUCUUUGAACGCAAGUUGCGCCCGAAGCCAUUAGGCCGAGGGCACGCCUGCCUGGGCGUCACACGUCGUUGCCCCCCCCAUCUACUCCUUCGGGAUUGCGGGGGGCGGAUGAUGGCCUCCCGUGCGCCUCGUCGCGCGGUUGGCAUAAAUGCCAAGUCCUCGGCGACGCACGCCACGACAAUCGGUGGUUGCGAAACCUCGGUUGCCCGUCGUGUGCGGUCGUCGCGCAUCGAGGGCUCGAAAAAAUUGCCGGGCUCCGGCUCGGCUUUCAACGCGACCCCAGGUCAGGCGGGGUUACCCGCUGAAUUUAAGCAUAUCAAUAAGCGGAGGA